rnacentral:rRNA from 1 species
GAUGAACGCUGGCGGCGUGCCUAAUACAUGCAAGUCGAGCGAACAGACGAGGAGCUUGCUCCUCUGACGUUAGCGGCGGACGGGUGAGUAACACGUGGAUAACCUACCUAUAAGACUGGGAUAACUUCGGGAAACCGGAGCUAAUACCGGAUAAUAUAUUGAACCGCAUGGUUCAAUAGUGAAAGACGGUUUUGCUGUCACUUAUAGAUGGAUCCGCGCCGCAUUAGCUAGUUGGUAAGGUAACGGCUUACCAAGGCAACGAUGCGUGGCCGACCUGAGAGGGUGAUCGGCGACACUGGAACUGAGACACGGUCCAGACUCCUACGGGAGGCAGCAGUAGCGAAUCUUCCGCAAUGGGCGAAAGCCUGACGGAGCAACGCCGCGUGAGUGAUGAAGGUCUUCGGAUCGUAAAACUCUGUUAUUAGGGAAGAACAAAUGUGUAAGUAACUAUGCACGUCUUGACGGUACCUAAUCAGAAAGCCACGGCUAACUACGUG